GAAGAGGGGACAAAAAUAAUCAAUUUAAACAGCACAAUCAAGCACACACAUAGCCAUCAGUUUUCCAUCCCUUUAACCUGUUGGGUCAUGCUGCUCUGUAACCACAACCAAAGCCAACACGGUCAAGCACAUAAAUUCACACUCAUAUGAUGGUAUGCAAGCUUUAAACAACACACAAGACAGAGACAAACAUGAUGAGCGUGCAAAAAAAACUCAGAGGAGUAGUCCCUAAUACAGAGGAAUCAAACCACGGAAUGGCACUAAAUUAUAAGACACUAGCGAACUCAAAAUUGUCAACUCUGCAAAGAUAUACUGUAUAGCAGGAAUCACAACAGAUACAGAAAAAAAGACAGAAAGAGAAAGAGUAACAAACAGCAGUCCUCACAUACAGCCAAUUACAGCGUAUCACAGCACACAUCUUUAUUUACCACGGAGAUAGACCCAGGAGCUAACCAUGGCACCUGAAGGACAGAGCAUUAGCUUUCAGAGCAAUAAAAUGGAAAGCAACAGAAACCCAGAGCAAUUUCAGAUCUUUCUGUUCAGUCCAAGAGCUUGACUUUAAAAAAAAGU